rnacentral:rRNA from 1 species
UUUAAAUUGAGAGUUUGAUCCUGGCUCAGGAUGAACGCUGGCGGCGUGCUUAACACAUGCAAGUCGAGCGAUGAAGUUUCCUUCGGGAAACGGAUUAGCGGCGGACGGGUGAGUAACACGUGGGUAACCUGCCUCAUAGAGUGGAAUAGCCUUCCGAAAGGAAGAUUAAUACCGCAUAACGUUGAAAAAUGGCAUCAUCAUUCAACCAAAGGAGCAAUCCGCUAUGAGAUGGACCCGCGGCGCAUUAGCUAGUUGGUGGGGUAACGGCCUACCAAGGCGACGAUGCGUAGCCGACCUGAGAGGGUGAUCGGCCACAUUGGGACUGAGACACGGCCCAGACUCCUACGGGAGGCAGCAGUGGGGAAUAUUGCACAAUGGGGGAAACCCUGAUGCAGCAACGCCGCGUGAGUGAUGAAGGUUUUCGGAUCGUAAAGCUCUGUCUUUGGGGAAGAUAAUGACGGUA